rnacentral:tRNA from 2 species
GGACCGGUAGGCGAAUUGGCAUAGCCUGCGUACUCAAAAUGCGUGUUGUUUGUGGGUUCGAGUCCCACCCGGUCUAC